ACAAUUCAAUUUUCGUUAUUACUUCGUCAUAAUAAAUAUUCGAUUAUAUUCUGGGAAACUAAACUAUAACGCAGGAUAAUUUAUAUGUGAGAUAAUUUUAUCGUACCAUAUAAGACACUCGAAAUUUUUGUAAGAAUCAUCAGGUGCUGCUUUUUGACACAGUCGCAAAAAUCGAUCUUUAAAUUGUAAUUUUUUUCCGAAUGACACACCAAAACUUGAAUUAAACUAAUUGCGUCACCUUCACACACGGUUUGCAGUUCUUAUCACCGUCGCCAACCAUCGGUUCGAUCUCUACCCGCCGUCUUGAGCUGAACCCGCUAGUCGUCGGACAUCGGUUUUCUCCUUCCCCUUCCACUCGUAGAUAUACGGGAUACGAAGAUCAUACAUUGGUGUGCGAAAAAUGACCACCAAUCGCGGGGAUAUGGUCCACGCCCGAGAGAAGCGCACGUAGCUCAGGAAAAUGCGUCCAGUUUCAUGCCAGCUUUUGUACGGGUGAGAGGAGGGGAUUAUUUGCACCACCUUCAUCACAACGCGGUGUCCGCGGUAAACUGAAUCGAGAGUGAUAGUUUUUUUGUUUCUACAUUGUGUAUUAACAUCAACGUAACAAUUUGUAUUCGUCUCAUGAACUUUUGCUAUUUUUCUGAAAGUGAUUAAUCCGUAUGCAUCGCAGAACUAGUGCAAUGCAAGCUUCAACAUGGGCGACUCAUCGUUGGCCCCAUAGACAGACUGACUGGUGUCUUGGCUGCUUAUCAGCAACGGCUCGUUGACGGCAUUUAUAUGCAAUGACGGAGUCAGCUGCUGUGUAUUAAGAUCGUGUGUUAACACUUGAAAUUAAUGCAUGAAUGUUGGUCCCACAUACGUAGUCAAAUAUAGCCGAACACAGUAUGCUCACUAACUUAUCGAGAACUCUUUUUUUUCUACAAUGUUUAUUAUUUAUUUUUUAUUACGAUGUUUAUAAUUUUUUUGUGGAUUAACUAAUCUCAGUGCAUCAAUGUUGUUCGCCGAAACAGCCCCUCAAAAACGAUACUUACGCACCAUCACCCACUAACGGCUAAACCAUAAACUACAACUGUCAGAGGUGAUGAUAAGCGAGGAAGAGGAAUGAGAAAGAAGAGUAAAACGAAGAAUUGUAAACAAUAUAUAUAUAUUUCUAAAUCUGAACGAUUAGGGGACGAGACUAGAAAACUUUGCUAAAAUAAGUACUUUUUUGGAUUCUUUAAUUUGUUACUACAAUCGGAGACUAAAUUGUAAGUUGUUUCGAUGCAUUAUUGUGAACCUUUAUUUCAUGAAGUAAAUUGUAGCUUGAAGCUGAUUAACACUCGGAAAAGAGCUGUUUUUAAUUCGCUGGGAGAACUCCGAUAAAUCUGUCUUAACAAAUUCUUCA